CUCCUUAGAUUUUAUUUACAUUUCUAAAUAUUGCUUUAGUAUUUUUUUAAAAGUAUCAGACAGCUGUGUUUCAACCAAAAUUUCUAAAAUGAAUCCACUGAGUUCAUAUCUACCCACAGUUGACGCAGAAGUUAGAUUUCUAGCUCCCACCUCCCCCUUACUCCUUCUUUAAUUUCAUAUCAAUUUAUACAAUCUAUACAAAUAGGGCUCUAUCAUAUGAGCCAACUUAUCACUUCCAUUUAGAGGUUUACACAGUAAUUCCACAAAGAAAACUUUUUUACUUUACAUAAUUGAAAGGAUUAUGUG
rnacentral:lncRNA from 1 species